UACGGGGGGGGCAAGCGUUGUUCGGAAUCACUGGGCGUAAAGCGCGUGUAGGCGGCCCACUAAGUCUGAUGUGAAAGCCCGGGGCUCACCCCCGGAAGUGCAUUGGAAACUGGUGGACUCGAGUCCCGGAGAGGAGACUGGAAUUUACGGUGUAGCGGUGAAAUUCGUAGAUAUUCGCAAGAACACCAGUGGCGAAGGCGGCUCACUGGCCCGGUACUGACGCUGAGGUGCGAAAGCGUGGGGAGCAAACAGG
rnacentral:rRNA from 1 species